CGUUGACACUCCGAAUGGUUCUGCCAGUAUCACAGAGGUUCAGUAGCUCUCAUGAAGGUCUUUCGAGCCUGGUAUGCUCUAGAGAUGUCUGCAUGCCGAUAUUCUCCACUGUAGCAGAAGAACUCUCAUCAAUGUGUUCGCACAUCUCCUCAAUCCAUGCAGCCAUUUUUUCUGCCAGCUUCUCUUCGUGUCUCCCAUAAAGUCGACGUCAACAGGACUGGGCAAUUCUGAAAACACCUCGGAGCCUCACCAGUAAGCUGAUGACAGGCAGAUCUUCCACUGUCUGCCCUUUCAGAUUCUGGAAACUGACCCGUGAACUCAGGUCUUUGGGCAGCAGCAGUAUCUCGAACUUACUCAGGUUCCCGAAAAAAAAGACCUAAGCCAAUCUCCACAUAGGGCAGCAGACCCACCAUCAAACUGAUCCACCCACAGAAUUCUGCCCAGUUUCCUUGGAUCCACCAGCCGCAAGAAGCCUCGUGUUUCACACCAACAUUCCACCUGGAAUCCAACAGACAUCAGUAAUCAUGGACCCAUUCUUGGAGCAGAGAAUCGAGUAAAUUUCUCAAGUACAAGUUCACACUCAGUAUGUUUCUGCCAGUAUCAGCGUGGUUCAUUAGCUCUCAUGAAUUUCUUUCGACCCUGGUAUACUCUAGAGAUGUCUCCAUGACUAUAUUCUUCACUGUAGCAGAACAACUCUCAUCAAUGUGUUCGCACAUCUCCUCAAUCCAUGCAGCCAGCUUUUCUUCCAACUUCUCUUCUUGUCUCCCAUAAAGUCGACGUCAACAAGAAUGGGUAAGUCUGAACGUACCUCGGAGCCUCAGCAUUAAUCUGAUGACAGGUAGUUCUUCCACUGUAUGCCCUUUCAGAUUCUGGAAACUGACCCGUGAACUCAGGUCUUUGGGCAGCAACAGUAUCUCCAACUUACACAGCUUCCCGAACCAAAGAAUUAAGCCAAUCUCCACAUAGGGCGGCAGCCCCUCCAUCACACAGAUCCACCAACAGAAUUCUGCCCAGUUACAUUGGAUCCACCAGCCGCAACAAGCCUCAUGGUACACACCAACAUUCUACCUGGAAUCCAACCGGUUUUCUGAGGCCUCAUCCUGUCUUUGGAAUAACAGACCACUCUUCGUCAAGUGUCCUGUGCCAAGGGCUGGGUGAGGCACACCAAGUGGUCCUGCACAAGUACCAGGACAUCGGGAAUCCACAGUGACCUGCAGAACAGAAGAGAGAGCUGUGUUGGAUGACAGACAAAAGGAACAACACCUACAGAACCUGAAACCCAAUGCAGCAGCUGUCAGCACCGGGCACCCUCACCUCCACCGGGUGCCCAGACAGCAGCACAGGGCCACACACUCGACCUUGGGGAUAAAACACUGUUGCCACAUGACACCACUGGUGUCUGUAAGUGGAGGAAGGUGAGAGUCCUGCCUGAGAUGAUGUACAGAGGUUCCAGCAAAUUGAUAAAGUAGGACCUCCCAAACUGGAAGCCUCUCUGUGCAGGACAACCCACCCUGACACCUUCCCCAGCUCCACAGAAGCAUGGUCUGCAUGAACGAGAAACACAGAGAA